ACUUGACGUUUUCAGAGGGUCUUGCUUCCAGUCCCUUUUCUCGAUUAUUUGCUUGGUUACAAAGCUUGUUCGUUGUUCGGUCCCGUCAGAUAUGAUGGGUUGACGAAGACCUUGGCCGACUUGAUAAUGUGGUCUUCUUUACAGGAACGAAAAAAAAAGGAUAUCCCAAGUGAGUCUCACAAAGCAAAGCACAUCCUGGUAAGCUGAAAGCUGUAUUGUUGAUAGCUCAAGAUUUCAUCAUGGACUAAAGAGAUUAACUGAUGCAAGAAAAAUAUUGCAAAGGAAAAUAAGAGAAGGAUUACGUAACUGUACCUCAUUUUCCUUUGCAAAAUUUUUUUUGUGGAGCAUGGUUUCCUGUAUCAGGAUAAUUGCAAACAAUAGAUGCUCUUGAAGAUCAAUUAUAUUUCUCUGGCACCAAGGUCAUUUCAAAGGUAAAGGUCAUGUUGGGACCAGUACUCCCUUUCUUUGUCAUUUGCAAAUGAUCUGUCAAGCAUCUCUCUGGAACUUCCUAAAAGCCUUUCAACAUCUUUUUUG